rnacentral:rRNA from 1 species
UGGGGAAUAUUGCACAAUGGGCGCAAGCCUGAUGCAGCCAUGCCGCGUGUAUGAAGAAGGCCUUCGGGUUGUAAAGUACUUUCAGCGGGGAGGAAGGGAGUAAAGUUAAUACCUUUGCUCAUUGACGUUACCCGCAGAAGAAGCACCGGCUAACUCCGUGCCAGCAGCCGCGGUAAUACGGAGGGUGCAAGCGUUAAUCGGAAUUACUGGGCGUAAAGCGCACGCAGGCGGUUUGUUAAGUCAGAUGUGAAAUCCCCGGGCUCAACCUGGGAACUGCAUCUGAUACUGGCAAGCUUGAGUCUCGUAGAGGGGGGUAGAAUUCCAGGUGUAGCGGUGAAAUGCGUAGAGAUCUGGAGGAAUACCGGUGGCGAAGGCGGCCCCCUGGACGAAGACUGACGCUCAGGUACGAAAGCGUGGGGAGCAAACAGG